CCUACCCUUUAACCCUUCCCCCGGUUGGUUCGGUUCCGUUACCCGUUUACCGUCCCCCGUACCCCCGAACCGUAACCGUUACGGGUUCCGGGGUACGGGAAACCGGAAACGGGCCGGUCCGUUCCGUUCGGUUCGGUUCGUUAACGGUUAACUACGGACCGUCGUAGGGACGUCCGUAAACGGAACGGUCGGGGUAGGGGACGAAACCAAACGGAAGUUAAGUUAAGUAACCCUUACCCGGUUAGGUUACCGUACCCGACCCGGUAAACCCGGUAAAACGUAGUAGGUAGGUCGUACGGUUAGGUUUGGGGUUUCCGGUUUUCCCCGGGUUUACCCGGUACCUACGUAGGUCCGGCCCGAGACGUAACCGUAACCGACUUAAAGUACGACCUACCCGCCCGUCGGGAGGGUACGUACCGACCGACGGUUAGGUAACGUAACAAGAAAGUUAGUACGGCGGGGCCCCGCACAAGCGGUGGAGCAUGUGGUUUAAUUCGAAGCAACGUCGACGCGGCCG
rnacentral:rRNA from 1 species